AAAAAAAUUGAAUAACUCGAUAAAUUCAUCAAGUCACCCAAAAUAAAUUUUACUUCGUUCGUCAUAGCAAUGUACAACUUAUGAGAAUCCAAACAUCAUUCAUCUCAUAAGAAUGGCACUUCAGCUCCACAAAAUUCCUCGUAACUUAAUACAAAAUGGACAACGCCUUUGGGCCACUACAACGGAGACGUUGUCUAGAAACUUCCACUCCGAGGGCAACUUCCCCCAAGCUGUUGCCACUGCACCGGAGUUCUCUGCUGAGAAGUCUCUUCCCAGUCACAUUCUCAGUGAGGGUCAAAUAAGAACUUACGCAAGCAGGAAGCCUGGUUGCAAACAGCCGUCAUGUCCGAAAAUGAACAAAUGUCCCAAGUUUUACCUCAAGGGAUGCUCAUGCCCCAAAUGCGAACCCAAGAAGAAAUUAAAAUGUACUAAGCGUGAGGCUCCCUAUCCCGCAUACAGCGAAGCUUGCGUCGAGGAAUUGGCGGAGAAUCCGUCUGAGUGCGUGCAAUGUCCGUGGCGCUAUUGCCCCAACUUCAAACCGAAGAACCGCGGUUUCCACCAGAAAGUGGAAGCUACCCAACAGCUUCAGCAACCACAAUACGGCGAUAGCAAGAGUUUGCAGUCGAUAUUCCUCAUCAAGAAGAAACCCUGCGAGAGGCCGCCCAGCAUCUGCGAGAAGCAACGCAAGCUGCGCGAACGCCAGAAGGAGGAGCAGAAGAAGAAGGAUUGCGAGGACUCGCUACGCACCAACAAGAAAAAGGCCAUGGACUGGAGCGAGAUCGUGCGCAUGUGGUACUACAAGCGCAACCCACAUCUCCUGGGCCGCGACGACAUCUUCUUGCACAAGAAACGCAACGACCACGACGCAGUGAGGGAGGACGACCCGCAGACCUACGAAGCCUUCGAGUACGACCCACGCGAAGCCGAUCUCGAGCACAAGAGGAAGAGGAGGGGCGUAGAAAGGAGGCCGCCCCACUGCGGCAAGGGCAGACGCAACAAGCCCGUCAAGGACUGUCCGCCGGGCUGUGGACGUUGCUCCGCCGCCCCGUUGCCCAUCAACGAGACCAUGCGUCUGGCGCCGAUCUUGGACGCGUUGGAAAUGAGCAGUCCGCACCCGCCGUGCCCGCCCAGGAAGAAGAAAUGCCCCAAGGUGGACUACAGCAAGAACCCGAGCACGAAGCCGCCGUGUCCGUGCAAGAAGCCUAAAAUGCGUCCGAAGGUCUACCCGGAGCCGCACAGCUAUCCGCAUCCCAUCUGUCCGAUCAAAUGUCCGGAGUCGUGCGAGGAGAGACGCAGGAAGGAGUGCUGGAUAAACAGGCAAAAGAACAAGAAGAAGGCCUCCGGCCUCCAUGACGACGACAUCAUCGGCAUGGAGCUGGCCAAAGGUCCUUGUCAGAGGGACCAGGAUCCACCCUCCAGAAAUCCCAAGACCAAGGAAAGAAUGAACCAGGGCAACAGGGGCAUGGUCAGGAAGAAGGUGCACAAGGGCUGGCCGCCUCAGAUCAAGGGCAAACAGCCCAAAUCCAGGGGCCAAUGUCCCGAAACUGUCGACUUGCCCGGAAACGGGCCCUAUAACCCGCAAGCCGACUGGUAAAACCUAAGUUUCUGCCUCCCCGCUCUGAGGUACCAGUACCAGGACCCCGUCCAGCAGCAGUUGGACAUGGACGGACCGGAGGAAAGGCAACAGGUCGAGUGCGUGAAACAGGAAGGUUGCAACAAACACAAAGACGGCAAAUGCUGCCCGAAAAGUAAAUGUUGUCCUAAAAAAAAAAUGAAAAA